GUUAAUUGCAAGUCCUCAGGAACACUGAUUUGUAGAAGAGGGAGAAAAGGCGGACUGCGGACUCUCAAUGCAGGCUGGGCCACCUCAAACCUGUACAAAUGAUCUUAGGGGCUGACCGUGGAAGAGGAGAGCCGGGCAGCUGACAGUCCAGCGCUGGGAAGCGUUAGUGCCGACAGAGGGGCUGGCCUAAGCCAACAGAAGCUCCUCUGCCUUUUCUCUGCCCUGCUGGCCCUCAUCAACACCCCAGAACCCGCCUCAUCGGACACUCCCUGGUUCCGCUGGCUACUGAGGAGUGUUUUCUGCGUCUUGACUCAGUAUCUGAAAAGUUGUUUCUAGGAGCAGUAAAUGAAGGAUCGUCAUCACAAUAUCUGCAGUCGUGCCCACAAUACUCUUGGGCAGACCACUGCACUGCUUUGCCUGGGGGUACACCCCACCGCCCAACUAUGCCUGACCCAGGAAGUGAUUCACUACAGACUCUUCCAGUCCCUGAGCCCAGCAGUGAUCACUUCAGGUCCCAGCAGACUGGAAGCAUCUAGGGAUUUUAGGGAGAGUCUCCGGGUCCUGGUGUCUAUGGCUCACACACGUCUUGCGGUUUUACAAUGCGGACUGUGUGAACAACAUGUUCAACUUUCUCCAGCCCUGGAGAACCAUGGUGAGUUUUAGAGGAGGUUAGAUAACCUGACCAGGCCACAUUGCAUCUUAGUUCAGGCUGCUAUACCAACGUACCGUACACUGGGUGGCUUUCAACCAGGCAUUUCUUUAUUAUAGUUCUAGAAGCUGGAAGUCUGGGAUCAGAGUGGCAGCAUGGUCGGGUUCUGGUGAGACCCUCUUCUGGGUUGCAGAUGGCCAAUUUCUCCUCAUAGCCUCAUGUGGCAGAGAGCAGCAAGCUCUCUAAUGACGCUUAUAAGGACACUAAUCCCAUUCACAAGGGCUCCACCCAUUACCUCCUCUACUUCUAAGUACUUCCCAAAGUCCAUCUCCUAAUACCAUCAUAUUGGGGCACAGGGUUUCAACAUGGACUUGGAGGGGACGCACAUUCAAUCCAUGACACAUGAUUAUUGAGUGGUGGGGGGAUUUAAAUUCAGAUCCAAUUGGUUGGAAAACCUGUUUUUCUUACUAUCACACUGGCUAAUUCUUCCUGAGUACUUUCAUUCAUCACAACAUUUAUUAAACACCUGCUGUGUUUGGAGCUGUACUGGGCACACACUAGGGAUGUAGACACAGAUGAGAGUUCCUGCCCUCAGGCUUCCUAGAAUUGAGGGGGCUCUCCGGAAUCUAUACUUCAUCUCCCAGAAUGGAGUGAGAUCACACAGAUGCCCCCAUUCCCCUCUGCCACACACCAUUUUGGACUUUCUGAAAUGGAAAUUUGUCUUAUUCUUCUCAUUAAAGAAAUUUGCCGGCUGCCAAGCAGGUUGUGCCAUGCAUGAAUAGCAUCUGUUGACCCAUUUGUCAUUGGUUGACAUCGGUGCCACCUGCUCACACUUGGAUUUCACUUUAAUUUGGAUCCUAAAUGGUCACUUUAAAAGAUCUUCAGAAAAAAAUAAAUAAAUAAAAGAUCUUCAGAGAGUGGGGCUCCUGGGUGGUUCAAUGGGUUCAAUGUCCAACUCUUGAUUUAGGUUCCGAUCACGAUCUCAGGGUUGUGAGAAUGAGCCCCACAUCGGUCUCCAGGCUCAGCGAAGAGUCUGCUUGUCCCUCUCCCCCAUCUCCUUCUGUCCCUCCCCAUUUUCUCUCUUUCUAAAAUAAAAUCUUAAAAAAAAAGUUUUAUGAACAUUUUUUUUUUUUUUUUUUUUUAUUUAAGAGUCACACACAGAGAGAGAGAGAGAGGCAGAGACACAGGCAGAGGGAGAAGCAGGCUCCAUGCACCGGGAGCCCGACGUGGGAUUCGAUCCCGGGUCUCCAGGAUCACGCCCCGGGGCAAAGGCAGGCGCUAAACCGCUGCGCCACCCAGGGAUCCCCAUUUUUUUUUUCUGAAAAAAAUUUCAUUAAAUUUACAGGUAUUAUUCAGUGUUAACUUUUAUGACUUGGUGGUUUCUUUUACUCAGCGAAGGAAAUGGUGUAAUAAGUAAAAGCCCUUUAAAGAUUUCCGAGCUUUAAAUCAGACAUUUUAAUAUUUGGGGAUCUCUUUGAGUGACUCUCUCAGUGUUUUAUUCCAUUAACUGACAAUUCUCACUAGAUAAUGGGUAUUUUCUAAAUGUAAGCUGCAAAGAUAUAACUUGUGGGCAAAUUCUCCCCACAGGUGGGAAGGCCUAGCCAGCAUGAUUUGAAUACAGGCCGCGGUUAAUUGUGCUGAGAAGAGCUGGCCUGAGGGGCUGCUGUCGGGGUGGGGUGUCUCCCCCCAUAGUGAGC
rnacentral:lncRNA from 1 species